rnacentral:rRNA from 1 species
AUUGAACGCUGGCGGCAGGCCUAACACAUGCAAGUCGAGCGGAUGAGGAAAGCUUGCUUUUCGAUUCAGCGGCGGACGGGUGAGUAAUGCCUAGGAAUCUGCCUGUUAGUGGGGGAUAACUCGGGGAAACUCGGGCUAAUACCGCAUGCGUCCUACGGGAGAAAGUGGGGGAUCUUCGGACCUCACGCUAACAGAUGAGCCUAGGUCGGAUUAGCUAGUAGGUGAGGUAAUGGCUCACCUAGGCGACGAUCCGUAACUGGUCUGAGAGGAUGAUCAGUCACACUGGAACGGAGACACGGUCCAGACUCCUACGGGAGGCAGCAGUGGGGAAUAUUGGACAAUGGGCGAAAGCCUGAUCCAGCCAUGCCGCGUGUGUGAAGAAGGUCUUCGGAUUGUAAAGCACUUUAAGUUGGGAGGAAGGGUAUUCACCUAAUACGUGGGUACUUUGACGUUACCAACAGAAUAAGCACCGGCUAACUCUGUGCCAGCAGCCGCCGCGGUAA